UCCAAAACUGAAAACUCAAAAGGGACGUUGUUUCCGCUUUCCACAUUCUAUAAAAGCGUACGUAAUACGAUUUGACAAAUAUUAGUGUAGACAAGCAAGGAAGAAACGUAGAAGCAGGCAAUUCUGCUCUCUCCAUUUCAAGAAAUUUUCCUUUUCUUUUUCUUUCCUCACUCGUAAUAAGACUUUCUUUCUCCGUUGACCCCCCCUCCCCCCCCCAAAAAAAAAAAAAACUCCAAUGGAGUUACCGGAAUCAACUCGGUUUCAGGAUUUCCUCGCCAAUUUUGAGUUGUGUUUUGUCUAACCUUUCCAUUCGCAUAAGAGCGCUCUCUCUCUCUCUGGUUCGCUUACUGUUUUCCUCGGUCACAAUCUUCCUUGUCUUGGGUUUCGUUGGGGCUGCACAGAAGCAAUGAAGUCUUCUCUUAGGAAACUGCGAGGAUUUGCACUAAACAAGAAUGAUGCCAGGGGAAAAAGAGAUAAUCAACCUUCGGCACAGCUGGAUGAGCUCGCUCAGGCGUCACAGGACAUGCAAGACAUGAGAAAUUGCUAUGAUAGCUUACUUUCAGCAGCUGCUGCAACAGCAAAUAGUGCAUAUGAAUUCUCAGAGUCACUGCGGGAAAUGGGUACUUGUUUGCUUCAAAGAACGGCAUUGAAUGAUGAUGAAGACAGUGGUAAUUGUAGAGUUCUGUUAAUGCUGGGAAAAGUUCAGUUUGAACUGCAGAAACUUGUUGAUAGCUAUCGCUCCCAUAUUUUUCAAACAAUUACAACACCAUCAGAAUCCCUUCUCAAUGAACUUCGAACUGUGGAGGAUAUGAAGCGGCAAUGCGAUGAGAAAAGAAACAUGUAUGAAUACAUAUUGGCGGCACAGAGGGAGAAAGGAAGGCCAAGAAGCAGCAAAGGAAGUUUUUCUUCUCAGCAGUUGAAGGCAGCUCAUGAUGAGUAUGAUGAGGAGGCAACAUUCUUUGUAUUUCGUUUAAAGUCGUUGAAGAAAGGGCAAUCUCGAAGUCUUCUGACACAGGCUGCUCGGCAUCAUGCUGCACAGUUAAAAUUCUUUAGGAAGGCACUCAAGUCUCUUGAGGAUGUUGAAGCACAUGUAAAACUGAUUGCUGAACAGCAGCAUAUUGAUUAUGAAUUCAGUGGACUUGAAGAUGAUGAUUGUGAUGAUGAUGAUGAUAGCAAUGAUGAUGGAGAGUUAAGUUUUGACUAUGGAGAUGUAGUAGCAACAGCAAGUGAUUCAAUGGAGUUGGAUCAAGUAGAUCUUUCACUUCCCCAAGUGCCAUCGGUGGAAGUUGCACAGGAAAAUCUGGAUAAAAGCCAAAGGGGACUCUAUGCUUUUAGUAGGGAACCUAAGGCAGGGAGCCAAUCAGCUCCAAUUCUUGCAGAGAAGAAGUUUGAUCCAGCUGAAAGGAUAAGAGAAAUGCAAUCAUCAGCUACUCGGAAGUUUCGCACAUAUGUAUUACCCACACCAGUUGAUGCAAAAGGUCCAGUACAUGCCAGAUCAGGCAAUCUUGUUCCUCAGACAAGGCAAACAAACCUGGCUGGACGCGUCCACAAUUUAUGGCAUUCAUCUCCCUUGGAACCCAAGAAGUAUGAGAAAGAUUCUGGAGAUAAGCUGUCGAGAUUCGCCAGCUUAAAAGCACAAUCAGUACUCAAAGAGAGCAACACCAAUAGUGCACCCAUCAGAUUGUCCCCUCCUUUGGGGGAAGGUCUUUCAUUACUACAGCUUGACCUGCAUAAUGCGUCUGAUGCUAAAAAGAUCAAAACAGAGGCCUUUUCUGCUCCAUUAACUAGUAGACCAUGGUCAACAAAACCUCCCUUAUCUGCCAGUGGUCCCAAUAUGUCAAUCAAACAAGUCCAGCUUAUAUCAGGGAUUCUUUCACGUGCCCCAGUGGUCCAGCCAUCCUCGUCCCCAAAAGUAUCACCAAGUGCUUCCCCUCCUCUUAUAUUUACGCCCAAGAUAAGUGAGCUGCACGAGCUUCCUAGGCCCCCAGUGAGCUCAACUACCAAGCCCACAAGGCCUUCAGGUUUAAUUGGUCAUUCAGGUCCCUUAAUUGCCAGAAGUCAAGCAAAACAGCCCCUAAUGGCUCCAAAUGCUGCAUCUCCACUUUCAACUCAUCCUUUAACUGUCUCUAGGAGUUUCUCCAUACCAUCUGGCAGUCAGAGAGAAAGGGCAUUCCAUGUGGUCAAGCUGUUGGAAACUCCUCAAAACCUAGAGAAGGCUGAGGAAGUUGUUUCACCUCCUCUGACACCUAUUUUAUUAAUCAACAUCCAGCCAGCACCAACUGUUGCUGAGGUUACCCAAGCCAGUCAGAUCAGAGUGCAGGUGAUUAUUGAUUGAGGCAGUAUGUUGCAACUAGAAAUCAUGUAGAUAUUCUGGCUUGGUCAAGCAAUAUUCUGGCUCAAGAUCUAUUUUACAUCAUCUCUUGCAGGUAGGAAGAUGGGAAAGAUUUACAUCUCAGACGGGAGCGACAACUCGACUCUCAUAGGACUGGUGGUGGCACUGGUCUUAGCAAUGCUGCUGUUCGUCGCCUGUCAACCCCAGCCUCGCAUCCGGAGGGUUGCAAUCUAUCGUUGUUCUUGAAACUCUUUUCAUUAUAUUCUAGCUUCCUUCCACUAUGUAAGUUGUAACUUGUAAACAACGCCUCUCUCUCUCUCUCUCUCCGAUUAUGUUAUUAUCACUUUUGUUCUUAGUAAUAAAUGAUAUUAUCAUUCACUUGGUACA